GUGAAGAAACAAAAAUCCUAAUGCGAUAAUUAAAUUUCUAGUGGGUGCUGUGGUUCCAUCGAUAUCCUGCAUCUCAUAUAACAAUUAUUGAUAACACAUACAUUGAUGUGUGGAUAACUCUUUGCCCAGAUGUUUCUUUAAGCAUGUUGCAGCGACUUGAUCUCUAAGUCAUGUGGGCUCACCUAACAGUUAUUGCCCACACUCUUUAGUUAAGUCAGACCCAC
rnacentral:lncRNA from 1 species